GAAAUAUAUAAGAAGGAAUAGAUUUAAAAAUUAAACUUAAAAUUAUAAGAAAUAUAAAAUCUAACCUAUAGUCCAGUCCACAACUUCUUGUCUAUAUCAAUUAGAAUGUAGCUAGGUCUGUGUAAAUGGCAGAUUCCUAUGAUACGGUAAUUAGUAACCAUUUAUAUAUUAUGUACAUACAACGAUCCUAGAGCUACAGAGAGAUCUAUCUUGGCAAAGUACCUGCUUGAAUUUCGAUCAUAAAUUGUUAAUUUUAUGAUUUAUAGAAUUGCCAUUUGUGUAUAACUAGUGAAUAAAUAAUACUGCAGUACAUUUUCCUUAGAAAGAUGGGGAGUAACACAGAAAACUUUUAAUGCAUUUAGUGUUGUUUCCCACAAAUCAAAACUCCCGAGGAAACAAAUGUUUUCUGCAAAAAACCAGAGAAACAUACACCACCAACAAUGAAUAAGUCAAUAUAGAGGUACAUGAAAAGUUGUCUUCACAAGUGAGGUAACAACUAAGUUGAGAAGUAUAGCAAUGGUUUUUGGUUAUUACAACAUAAACCAGCUUGGUCUCCAGUUGGUAAUGUUACAAUUAAUAUAAUCAUGUCUAAAACCCUCCCGAAUGUGCUACCUAAUCAUUGCCAAUUGCAUUGUUUAAAGAGACAACUUAGUUUCUCAUCAAACCGGUAAAUGAAUUUCUCCUAAAUAAAGAAAUCGAUCAUCAGCCAUGCUAUUUUCGGUAGGAGUUAAAAAUGGGAGGGUAUUAAAUGGUUACAGAUAUCAAACAAAAUUGUUUCUCAGGUCAUAAUUUAAAUUUGGUUAGCUCACUUUAAAGCAAUCAUCAAACACUUAAACAAUAGUUGUAUCACUAUCAGCUUAUAAGAUUAAAAACUGAAAGUUGCCAUUUCAUACAAAUAUUCAAUCUCCACAUGGCUGUGACUGAUUUAACUUUUAUUAAUGAUUGGUUUUUAGUGUCAAGCUAAAAAAACUAUGAGAACACAUUAUUUGACAUGUUAACCCUUUUGACAUGCUCCCAUGUCAAACCCCCUACCAAAAGUAGCAUGAUUGAUCAUUGUCAGUGGUAAUUACUACAUAUAUUUGACAAAAAUAGCUUAUAUUAUGAUAUAGUUUAAAUUAUAAUUUACACUCUCCUGGACUUAAUUAUUUUUUAUAUUUUUAAUCCUUUGACCACCAAAUGCUAACCAAUUCACCAUUUAAGAACUGACACUGUGUGAUAACUUUAAUGACACAUAAUGUUUAAGUUGCAUAAACAAACACGCACACACACAAACCGAUAGUUAUCAAUUAUUUUCUCUAUAAAAAAUAAAGCAAACUAUAUAAAAUAAGACAAUUUUCUUUUGCCAAUGUUUUAACAUUAAUUUGUUAUGAUAAAAUAAGACCAAAACCAAUAGAGCUUUAAGAUUGGGAAAAAUGUGUUAUACCAACUCAAAAUAGCAGUUUCAGUAAUGGCUAUCAAGCAGAACCAUGCAAUAAAGGCUUGGCACAAGUCAUGCAAAAUUAUUGCUUGUAAUGUUGGACAUAGUUUUCUAAGGUUGGCAUUGUGGUGGUGAAAGGAUUAACAAACAUGUUUGGCAAGUCCUGAGAGUCAAGAAUGAAAAUUAUUGCUGGAUUUUUUUCUUUAAAACAAAGGUAUGCAUUGUUUAUUUUAACGCUGUACUUAGAUGUUACGGUUAAUACAUGAAUUUUAAAAUGAUUGAUGUUACCUUGUGAUAUGGUGGUUCUGUGUGAAGGUACACAGUUGAUUUCGUGUUGAGUUACAAUCCUUUUAUUACAAUUUGAGAUUAUAAUCUUUUUCAUGAUUCACCCAUACUACCCAACACUUUCCAACUCACUGUUC